CCUACGGGUGGCAGCAGUGAGGAAUAUUGGUCAAUGGACGAGAGUCUGAACCAGCCAAGUAGCGUGAAGGAUGACUGCCCUAUGGGUUGUAAACUUCUUUUAUAAAGGAAUAAAACGAGGCACGUGUGCCGUUUUGCAUGUACUUUAUGAAUAAGGAUCGGCAAACUCCGUGCCAGCAGCCGCGGUAAUACGGGAGAUCCGAGCGUUAUCCGGAUUUAUUGGGUUUAAAGGGAGGGUAGAUGUGUUGUUAAGUCAGGUGUGAAAGUUUGGGGCUCAACCGUAAAAUUGCAAUGGAUACUGGCAGUGUUGAGUACAGUUGAGGUAAGCGGAAUUCGUGGUGUAGCGGUGAAAUGCUUAG
rnacentral:rRNA from 1 species